AUGCUGAAGCUUAACGGCUACACGUUCAGCAAUCAUGAACUGCAGAUAGAGAGAGUUCCGGGCGAUGUCGCAACAGGAGCUCGUCAGGAAGUGCAGAGGCUCAAGGGCUCUGUGUCUCAACUGCAGGCAUCCCUGCAAGAGCUGCAGAGCAGCGGGUUGCACUCGGACGACGCCGGGAUCGGGGCUGCGGAAGCCAGGAAGGCUGACCUCAUGGGUAAGAAGGCCAAGCUGGACGAGACCCUGGCUGCAGCCCGCCAGUUCACAGCACUGCUUCGGCAGCAGCUCCAGGAAGCUUUCGCCUCACAGGUUAGGGAUCAGAAGGCAGCACAAAACUGA
rnacentral:rRNA from 1 species